rnacentral:rRNA from 1 species
GACGAACGCUGGCGGCGUGCUUAACACAUGCAAGUCGAACGGAAAGGCCCUGCUUUUGUGGGGUGCUCGAGUGGCGAACGGGUGAGUAACACGUGAGUAACCUGCCCUUGACUUUGGGAUAACUUCAGGAAACUGGGGCUAAUACCGGAUAGGAGCUCCUGCUGCAUGGUGGGGGUUGGAAAGUUUCGGCGGUUGGGGAUGGACUCGCGGCUUAUCAGCUUGUUGGUGGGGUAGUGGCUUACCAAGGCUUUGACGGGUAGCCGGCCUGAGAGGGUGACCGGGCACAUUGGGACUGAGAUACGGCCCAGACUGCUACGGGAGGCAGCAGUGGGGAAUAUUGCACAAUGGGCGGGAGCCUGAUGCAGCAACGCCGCGUGCGGGAUGACGGCCUUCGGGUUGUAAACCGCUUUCGCCUGUGACGAAGCGUGAGUGACGGUAAUGGGUAAAGAAGCACCGGCUAACUACGUG